GGUGUGUGUUCCAGGUAAAUCCGGUUCACUUUAACACUGAGGCGUGACGACGAGGCACUACGGUGCUGAAGCAACAAAUGCCCUGCUUCCAGGAAAAGCCUCUAAGCAUCAGGUAACAUCAAAUCGUACCCCAAACCGACACAGGUGGUCAGGUAGAGAAUACCAAGGCGCUUGAGAGAACUCGGGUGAAGGAACUAGGCAAAAUGGUGCCGUAACUUCGGGAGAAGGCACGCUGACACGUAGGUGAAGUGAUUUACUCAUGGAGCUGAAGUCAGUCGAAGAUACCAGCUGGCUGCAACUGUUUAUUAAAAACACAGCACUGUGCAAACACGAAAGUGGACGUAUACGGUGUGACGCCUGCCCGGUGCCGGAAGGUUAAUUGAUGGGGUCAGCGCAAGCGAAGCUCCUGAUCGAAGCCCCGGUAAACGGCGGCCGUAACUAUAACGGUCCUAAGGUAGCGAAAUUCCUUGUCGGGUAAGUUCCGACCUGCACGAAUGGCGUAAUGAUGGCCAGGCUGUCUCCACCCGAGACUCAGUGAAAUUGAACUCGCUGUGAAGAUGCAGUGUACCCGCGGCAAGACGGAAAGACCCCGUGAACCUUUACUAUAGCUUGACACUGAACAUUGAGCCUUGAUGUGUAGGAUAGGUGGGAGGCUUUGAAGUGUGGACGCCAGUCUGCAUGGAGCCGACCUUGAAAUACCACCCUUUAAUGUUUGAUGUUCUAACGUGGACCCGUAAUCCGGGUUGCGGACAGUGUCUGGUGGGUAGUUUGACUGGGGCGGUCUCCUCCUAAAGAGUAACGGAGGAGCACGAAGGUUGGCUAAUCCUGGUCGGACAUCAGGAGGUUAGUGCAAUGGCAUAAGCCAGCUUGACUGCGAGCGUGACGGCGCGAGCAGGUGCGAAAGCAGGUCAUAGUGAUCCGGUGGUUCUGAAUGGAAGGGCCAUCGCUCAACGGAUAAAAGGUACUCCGGGGAUAACAGGCUGAUACCGCCCAAGAGUUCAUAUCGACGGCGGUGUUUGGCACCUCGAUGUCGGCUCAUCACAUCCUGGGGCUGAAGUAGGUCCCAAGGGUAUGGCUGUUCGCCAUUUAAAGUGGUACGCGAGCUGGGUUUAGAACGUCGUGAGACAGUUCGGUCCCUAUCUGCCGUGGGCGCUGGAGAACUGAGGGGGGCUGCUCCUAGUACGAGAGGACCGGAGUGGACGCAUCACUGGUGUUCGGGUUGUCAUGCCAAUGGCACUGCCCGGUAGCUAAAUGCGGAAGAGAUAAGUGCUGAAAGCAUCUAAGCACGAAACUUGCCCCGA
rnacentral:rRNA from 1 species